GACGAACGCUGGCGGCGUGCUUAACACAUGCAAGUCGAACGGAAAGGCCUUUUCGGAGGUACUCGAGUGGCGAACGGGUGAGUAACACGUGGGUGAUCUGCCCUGCACUCUGGGAUAAGCCUGGGAAACUGGGUCUAAUACCGGAUAGGACCGCACUUUAGUGUGUGUGGGGGAAAGUUUUUUCGGUGUAGGAUGAGCCCGCGGCCUAUCAGCUUGUUGGUGGGGUAAUGGCCUACCAAGGCGGCGACGGGUAGCCGGACUGAGAGGUUGGUCGGCCACAAUGGGACUGAGAUACGGCCCAGACUCCUACGGGAGGCAGCAGGGGGGAAUAUUGCACAAUGGGCGCAAGCCUGAUGCAGCGACGCCGCGGGGGGGAUGACGGCCUUCGGGUUGUAAACGCCUUUCGCCAGGGACGAAGCGUUUUGUGACGGUACCUGGAGAAGAAGCACCGGCUAACUACGUG
rnacentral:rRNA from 1 species